GACCCUGUGCGACCGGGAAGGGUUUUUGCUUUGCCCAAGCCUGCGGCUCCAAGGUGGCAAGGGACUGAGCCAGCAGAGGAGAAGCAGGUACUUCGCCACAGGACAAAUAAGCAGGCUGGUAGCAGGGCCUGAGUGAGGGAAGAUAUCAGCAUCUUAAAGGCCUAACUGGCUCCUACUACUUCAGUUGACUGCCUGUUCUCCUCAAGUCGGUUCAGUGAAGCAGCAGGAAACAGGAAGCUCCCUGAGAAGCUGGUGUUAAUCAGUCCAGGCUCCUGGGAGUGCUAGAGAGGUACAUAAGAGGCUCCUCCUCUUCUCUCUCCCUGCAGCUCCUCCUGCUUUCUAUUAUUCCCUCUAACCUUUUCUCCUGCCUGCCCGUUAUGUCUCUUGUGCCCUCCUUCCUUCAGCAUAGCACUCCACCAACUCUGUGCAUCUAGAGCUGCCUCUGUUCGCCUCAUGGUAAGGCCAGCCCUGUCCACAUAUCAGCAGGCAGGUUUUCCAUGUCCUGGGAAUGGAUGGCAUGUUUUGAGAUCCUCUCCAGGAUGGUUCUAGCUCUCGGAGUGAUGAUUGUGUACUCCGUAUUCUUCACCUGUGUCACCAGAACUCCCAGCUCCUGACAUUCCUCGCACCGUGUCCAGUGGCAGCUGAUACGCUCCUCCAGUUGUCACGUAGCAUUGCAGGCAUGAGUCCAGAGCGAAGCAAAGUCUCUCCCAUCUCUUCCAAAUUUGCCUUCCAAUGUGCUGCUCAGUUUUUCUUGGAAAUUAUUGACUGGCCAUCUCACUGAGGGAGCAUCACUUCCUGCAGCUCCCAUUGACUGGGAAUGGCGAACUGCGGCCACAAGGAGCUGAGGGGUUCCAUGCCUGCAGUAAACAAAAUGUCCCAACCCGCCAGCGGCUUACCUUGAUGUCCAGGAGCCAGAGUUUGCCAACCCCUGAAAUAUAGGGUUGGCUUAUGAAAGGGUCAUACAGUUUUUGCUAUUUUUACCUAACUAUCUUGGGGGGUUGGUUUAUAAAUGAAUGGGUUAAUGAAUGAAUAAUAUCCUAAUCCCCAGUGACUCUAAUACAAAGAAGUUUAUGAAGUGUAUGCAUACAUAGACCAUAAUAGUAGAUAGCUUGGUCCAUAGGAAGAGGAGAAUAAACCAGGGUAGGAGCACAUUAAAAGAGAUAAAUGGAUUAGGAAGUAUCUGGGCUCAGUCUUCAGCAGUGCUUAGUUUACACUUGAUGCAACUGAGGACAGAGGCAGUGAGAGAGGAAGGCAGCUGUAAACCAUCUUAUUCCCCCCUACCACCAUCCUCGGCAAGCUGGGUGCCACUGCAGUCCAUGAUCUGAGCUAGAGCAGCUUAAGAGCUGCUCUAAGUCAAACCGCCUGUGGCAGCUGAGAAUCUGAUGGAGAGCAUUACACCUUGCCUCAAACUCUCCAGUUCUAGCUAUGACAUGCCUGGCCUCCUCCUCACCACUUGCAGCCCUGUGUUUAAUAAAAGAUGUAUUUCUUUAAAAAGUCCCAGCCUCUCACAUCUGGAGUCUGGGAUCUAAACAAAGUGACUAAACAGAAGUUUGGCUUUACUUCUGUGUUUACCUGAACUUCUGGACUUUCCUUGAAGGUCUUCUCUUUCCAAACAUUCACCUUAACCUGUAAGGUCCAUUCGGCUGAGUAACAGAGUUCCUUUUAAAAAACAACAUGGGACUGUGAAUGUUCUGAAAUGUUUGACAAACCUUUUUCCCUGCAUUUUUUUUUUUUUUGCAUUUUCAUACAAUAUCUGCAUAUAUAGGUUCUGGGCAGAACUGGAACUGGAUAAACUGAAAUUCUGUUAGAUAUUAUGGAUAUUGGUGGUUCACUAUUCUGUAUCAACAACUUAGUCAGGCCUAUCAUAGUCACUACACCAAACACACUGUUGUCAUGAUAUAUAUGCAAAAGCUGUUAUAUAAUAUAUCAUAGGAAAACUAACAGCUAAGUGAUCAUUAAUAUUUUUGUAUGAUGUAUGUGUGGGGUGUGUACAAAGAGUUUUGGAUAUGUACUAGAAUUAUGUUAUCAAAAUGUGUUUGACGAGCAAUAUAUAGGCACAGUCUGCCUGAGAUAAAGGUAUGUGUAUCUGCUUUUCUGACCAGCCUUGUCUUCAAGCAGAGACCUUGAAGGUACAUUUACAUAAAAAGAAAACAAAGCCAUCAAACUAGCAAGUGGAGGAGAUAGCCUCUUAACUAUAAAGACAAUGGGGCCUGAACCUCAAAUGAUAAAUAAUUGAAUCAACUGAUUGUAUACAAUGUUA